UACGUAGGGGGCAAGCGUUGUCCGGAAUCAUUGGGCGUAAAGAGCGUGUAGGCGGCCAGAUAAGUCCGCUGUGAAAACUGGAGGCUUAACCUCCAGACGUCGAUGGAAACCGUAUGGCUAGAGUCCGGAAGAGGAGAGUGGAAUUCCUGGUGUAGCGGUGAAAUGCGCAGAUAUCAGGAAGAACACCCGUGGCGAAGGCGGCUCUCUGGGACGGUACUGACGCUGAGACGCGAAAGCGUGGGGAGCGAACAGG
rnacentral:rRNA from 1 species